rnacentral:rRNA from 1 species
UACGUAGGGACCAAGCGUUGUUCGGAUUUACUGGGCGUAAAGGACGCGUAGGCGGCAAUUCAAGUCAGCUGUGAAAUCUCCGGGCUUAACUCGGAACGGUCAGCUGAUACUGCUUUGCUAGAGUGCAGAAGGGGCAAUCGGAAUUCUUGGUGUAGCGGUGAAAUGCGUAGAUAUCAAGAGGAACACCUGAGGUGAAGACGGGUUGCUGGGCUGACACUGACGCUGAGGCGCGAAAGCUAGGGUAGCAAACGGG